rnacentral:rRNA from 1 species
UACGAAGGGGGCUAGCGUUGUUCGGAAUUACUGGGCGUAAAGCGCACGUAGGCGGAUAUUUAAGUCAGGGGUGAAAUCCCAGAGCUCAACUCUGGAACUGCCUUUGAUACUGGGUAUCUUGAGUAUGGAAGAGGUAAGUGGAAUUGCGAGUGUAGAGGUGAAAUUCGUAGAUAUUCGCAGGAACACCAGUGGCGAAGGCGACUGACUGGACAAGUAUUGACGCUGAGGUGCGAAAGCGUGGGGAGCAAACAGG